rnacentral:lncRNA from 1 species
AGCGCUGCGUUUUCCCGAGCGAGCGAGGGUGAUCGCGGCUUCCAGCUCACCUGUUGUUCGGUGGGCUGGGUCCUCUGACCAGGGAGGGGUGGAAAGGAGGAGGACCGACUCCUUUGCCGGCUGAGG